GUCAAGUCUCUAUACCAAAAAGUGCACCUUUCCCAAGCAGAAGUCUUACAGGAUGUCUAGAGACAGGAAUGUGGUGACCACUACUGAGUUAGACCAGUACAGAAGUUUGCUUAAGAUGACUGAGCCUAAAAUUUUGACUGAUGGCUAGUUUGUACAAUUGCAUCCCAGCAUGUCUUUCCUUCAGGUCAUCUAUGGCUACCAACCCCACAUCCUGCCCUCUAGAACUCUGGCAUCCAUUGUCCCUCAUAUCUUGGAUUUUCUGCAGGAGAGACAGAUGGCUCAACUCUUCUUCAAUGGACAUUUAGUUUUGGUAAAAGCUACAUAGAAAGGUACUACAGAAACACAUGUGCAAGACAGUGUCAAGACUGAAGUGGGAGAUUUGAUGUGGCUUUUCACUAAGUUUUUACUUUUUAUCCACCUACCUACAAAGCUGGUCUCAACGUUUAUUGACCCUUCCAAAUUAUCCUGCAAAUUAACCAGAUGGCUUUUCAUUUGUAAUUGCCUGUUUCUAUUAAGGUUGAAGAAGAGAGACUGGUUUGGAGGGAAAAAGUAAUACAGAGGGAAGCAGAGAUAAAGUUGACAAAAUUAUGUGAGAAUUGCUAGCAGAUAAAAGAGCAGGAAAUGACAUCUCAGCCAUGGGAAAGGAGGGAGCAUCAGAACUCAUAUGUAAGUUGUAAACAUUGGCAGUCAUUCAAGAUUCUGUUAUUCUACCCUGCAACAAUAAAAUAAAGUUCCAGUUCUCCUUGCAGUGCCUGUUUCCUGAGCUGUCUUCUUCUGAAAAGCUGACAGAUCGGCAAGCUCCUUUCUUCACUUUUUAGAUAUUAUUUCUAUUUUUUUAAAAAAUUAAGUGAAACAGAGAUUUUGCAUAUCAACAUACCAGCAUUGUCAUUAUUCUUAGAAAUACUACAUAAACGCGAUAAGCCUUCUCAGAAAAAAAAGGUAAAUGUUUUCAACCCUUAAAGAUCUACUUUUGCCAAUGGAUCUAGGGCCCCGAUACAAUGGGAAAUCCCAACUCCCAUUGUGUCGACUAGGGGAAUUGUGUUAGUGUUUUGCGCUGUUAAUUUAUUUAUAAUUCU